ACUCCUACGGGAGGCAGCAGUGGGGAAUAUUGCACAAUGGGGGAAACCCUGAUGCAGCCAUGCCGCGUGUGUGAAGAAGGCCUUCGGGUUGUAAGCACUUUCAGUAGGGAGGAAGGUAGUGUAGUUAACACCUGCAUUAUUUGACGUUACCUACAGAAGAAGCACCGGCUAACUCCGUGCCAGCAGCCGCGGUAAUACGGAGGGUGCGAGCGUUAAUCGGAAUUACUGGGCGUAAAGCGCAUGCAGGCGGCCUGUUAAGUCAGAUGUGAAAGCCCGGGGCUUAACCUCGGAAUUGCAUUUGAAACUGGCAGGCUAGAGUCUUGUAGAGGGGGGUAGAAUUUCAGGUGUAGCGGUGAAAUGCGUAGAGAUCUGAAGGAAUACCGGUGGCGAAGGCGGCCCCCUGGACAGAUACUGACACUCAGAUGCGAAAGCGUGGGGAGCAAACAGGAUUAGAUACCCUGGUAGCACAGAG
rnacentral:rRNA from 1 species